GAUGAACGCUGGCGGCGUGCCUAAUACAUGCAAGUCGAGCGAACGGACGAGAAGCUUGCUUCUCUGAUGUUAGCGGCGGACGGGUGAGUAACACGUGGAUAACCUGCCUAUAAGACUGGGAUAACUUCGGGAAACCGUAGCUAAUACCGGAUAAUAUUUUGAACCGCAUGGUUCAAAAGUGAAAGACGGUCUUGCUGUCACUUAUAGAUGGAUCCGCGCUGCAUUAGCUAGUUGGUAAGGUAACGGCUUACCAAGGCAACGAUGCAUAGCCGACCUGAGAGGGUGAUCGGCCACACUGGAACUGGGACACGGUCCAGACUCCUACGGGAGGCAGCAGUAGGGAAUCUUCCGCAAUGGGCGAAAGCCUGACGGAGCAACGCCGCGUGAGUGAUGAAGGUCUUCGGAUCGUAAAACUCUGUUAUUAGGGAAGAACAUAUGUGUAAGUAACUGUGCACAUCUUGACGGUACCUAAUCAGAAAGCCACGGCUAACUACGUG
rnacentral:rRNA from 1 species